rnacentral:rRNA from 1 species
GACGAACGCUGGCGGCGUGCCUAAUACAUGCAAGUUGAGCGCUGAAGGUUGGUACUUGUACCAACUGGAUGAGCAGCGAACGGGUGAGUAACGCGUGGGGAAUCUGCCUUUGAGCGGGGGACAACAUUUGGAAACGAAUGCUAAUACCGCAUAAAAACUUUAAACACAAGUUUUAAGUUUGAAAGAUGCAAUUGCAUCACUCAAAGAUGAUCCCGCGUUGUAUUAGCUAGUUGGUGAGGUAAAGGCUCACCAAGGCGAUGAUACAUAGCCGACCUGAGAGGGUGAUCGGCCACAUUGGGACUGAGACACGGCCCAAACUCCUACGGGAGGCAGCAGUAGGGAAUCUUCGGCAAUGGACGAAAGUCUGACCGAGCAACGCCGCGUGAGUGAAGAAGGUUUUCGGAUCGUAAAAACUCUGUUGGUAGAGAAGA